rnacentral:rRNA from 1 species
UGAGUUUGAUCCUGGCUCAGAUUGAACGCUGGCGGCAGGCUUAACACAUGCAAGUCGAGCGGGGAAGGUUGCUUCGGUAACUGACCUAGCGGCGGACGGGUGAGUAAUGCUUAGGAAUCUGCCAUUUAGUGGGGGACAACAUUCCGAAAGGAAUGCUAAUACCGCAUACGUCCUACGGGAGAAAGCAGGGGAUCUUCGGACCUUGCGCUAAAUGAUGAGCCUAAGUCGGAUUAGCUAGUUGGUGGGGUAAAGGCCUACCAAGGCGACGAUCUGUAGCGGGUCUGAGAGGAUGAUCCGCCACACUGGGACUGAGACACGGCCCAGACUCCUACGGGAGGCAGCAGUGGGGAAUAUUGGACAAUGGGCGCAAGCCUGAUCCAGCCAUGCCGCGUGUGUGAAGAAGGCCUUUUGGUUGUAAAGCACUUUAAGCGAGGAGGAGGCUACCUAGAUUAAUACUC